rnacentral:rRNA from 1 species
GACGAACGCUGGCGGCGUGCUUAACACAUGCAAGUCGAACGGAAAGGCCCUGCUUUUGUGGGGUGCUCGAGUGGCGAACGGGUGAGUAACACGUGAGUAACCUGCCCUUGACUUUGGGAUAACUUCAGGAAACUGGGGCUAAUACCGGAUAGGAGCUCCUGCUGCAUGGUGGGGGUUGGAAAGUUUCGGCGGUUGGGGAUGGACUCGCGGCUUAUCAGCUUGUUGGUGGGGUAGUGGCUUACCAAGGCUUUGACGGGUAGCCGGCCUGGGAGGGUGACCGGCCACAUUGGGACUGAGAUGCGGCCCAGACUCCUACGCGAGGCAGCAGUGGGGAAUAUUGCACAAUGGGCGGAAGCCUGAUGCAGCAACGCCGCGUGCGGGAUGACGGCCUUCGGGUUGUAAACCGCUUUCGCCUGUGACGAAGCGUGAGUGACGGUAAUGGGUAAAGAAGCACCGGCUAACUACGUG